rnacentral:tRNA from 1 species
UGCCCCUUAGUGUAAUGGCAGCACGGCAUCCUUUGGAGAUGUUCGGUCUUGGUUCGAAUCCAGGAGGGGCAG